rnacentral:rRNA from 1 species
UACGAAGGGGGCUAGCGUUGCUCGGAAUCACUGGGCGUAAAGGGUGCGUAGGCGGGUCUUUAAGUCAGGGGUGAAAUCCUGGAGCUCAACUCCAGAACUGCCUUUGAUACUGAAGAUCUUGAGUUCGGGAGAGGUGAGUGGAACUGCGAGUGUAGAGGUGAAAUUCGUAGAUAUUCGCAAGAACACCAGUGGCGAAGGCGGCUCACUGGCCCGAGUACUGACGCUGAGGCACG